GGGUUAGUAGGUUGGUCAUGCCUCUGGUAUGUACUGGUCUCACUGAUUCCUCCUACCUGAUGAAUCUUAAUGCCAUUAAUUUGGUGUUUUGAGGAAUUUGGACUGCUACUUUGAAAAAAUUAGAGUGUUUAAAGCAAGCUAACGCUUGAAUACAUUAGCAUGGAAUAAUGAAAUAGGACGUUCGAUCCUAUUUUGUUGGUUUCUAGGAUUGACGUA
rnacentral:rRNA from 1 species